rnacentral:snRNA from 3 species
GUGCUUGCUUUGGGAGCACAUAUACUAAAAUUGGAAUGAUACAGAGAAGGUUAGCAUGGCCCCUGUGCAAGGAUGACAUGCAAAUACGUGAAGUGUUCCAUAUUUUA